CAGCUGUAAACCGCACUUGUUAUCUUCAUUGCAAUCCGCUUAUGUCCUGGUGCCUGUGUUCCCCGGAAGGACCAGCAGAUGGUAGCAACACUUCGUGGGAAGGCUCCAGCCCAGCUCCGUAGGGCGAAACAAUAGACCCCAAAUGCAGCCCUCGGUUGGAGAAGAGCUCACGCCCACCUGAGUUCAAAGCUGAGUAGGAGCCCCGCUGUUGGAGUUCCUAGAGUUAAAGCCGAACAGGAGGGGAGGCGCGAGGGCUGUGCCGGGCUUCUGCCCUGCCCUGGCCCUCCUCCGUCCGCCAGCUGCGCUGGGCUCUGCGGUGCCCAAGCCCCGGCCCGCGCGCGCCCAGCGCGAGCCCCCAGGGAUUUCGAUCCGGCCGCUUCCCCGUCCCGCCGCCUCCAGGCCCCUCACGCGUGCCAGCUCCCUGCGCGUCCCUCCCGCCCGGCCGGGACCAGCGGGAGGAGGCCGCCCCCUCUCCGGCGCGCAGGCGGGGCCCGGGCGCGC